CAAGAAAGAGUAGAGUUGUUCCUUCUUUAUCACAUUGGACAAUGGUGAAGGGUCUGUUAGCUAUUUUAUAGUGUCAUUUAAAGGACGGUGUUUAGUUUCUUUCUGGGGUCUGAGAAUUGAAUAUGGAUUUAGACCAUAUAGUUCAGUAAACCAAUGUUUUCCAACUUUCUUUGGCAAUGGUAUUAGUGUUAUUGUGACUGGAGAACCUAAUGUUGGACGAUUAGUUUUGUUUGGUUUCAUU
rnacentral:lncRNA from 1 species